GGAUCCAUGUCCUAAGGGUUAAAGCGCUCAACUUAUAAUUAACAAAAAUGUUGGUUCAAUUCCUACUGGAUGCA
rnacentral:tRNA from 1 species